UCAGCACGCCCUCUGGGCCGAACCAUGCUUGCUCUGCUCCUCACCCUGGCGGCGGUGGCAGUAGGUUGGUCCGGCGGUGGCAGCAGGACGUAGGCGACGUCGGCUGGGUGGCGGGGGACGGGGGCGAGGCAGCCGGAGCGGAGCGGUCAGGGGAGGGCAGAGGAGGAAACAGUGGUGGCGGAGGACGGCGCGGCGCGGCACGGCACGACGGCGAGUGGCAGGAUUUGUUGAGAAACUUGGCCCGGUGGAACACGAGGAGAGGCUAGCCUUGAUGAAAGCUUCUUUUGGCAUCCCAUCUGGACCUCCACGCGACCAUGGCUUUGAUUACCUUCCUGAAUGCAGUAGAGACCAGAGGCAUGUUGGGGAUCGAGUUUGGCAUAGGUACUACCACAUGAGUAGACUUUCAGAAAAUUUUCAAUGUGAAAGUGCAAACAUGUCUAGCGGAUGUGGCUGGUCUGGUCGAGGUUUACGGGAUUCUUGCUGUCCGUGAUGACGACGAUUACUGUCAUAAUUAUCUUUUCAACCGAUCUCGAGAAAAUACACUCGAUAUCAGUCUUGUAAGUAAUAUAUUCCUUUGUUUUGAUGUUAUGUUUUCAAAGUAAGGGUCUG